GCUCUCGCCUUCUCUACCGCUCAGUGGAGUUAAGUUGCAGAGUUAUUGAAAUCGGAGGCGUUAGGGAUACUCAACAGGCUCGAAUCUCUGCGUCUCGCGGUCGAUGAUGAGAAGGUAGAAGACAAAGACAAAGACGAGACGUGAAAACCCUGGGCACGAUCAGUUCAAGGUGGGCCGCGACAAAACAAAUAAAAAAACAACACAUUAGCCGGAGCCCAAACCGAAUAAGGGAAAAAAAAAAACAAAAAAACGUAACCAAUUAAGCGCCGACACGUGGCGACAUAUGCCCAC
rnacentral:lncRNA from 1 species